AGUGAACGCUGGCGGUAGGCCUAACACAUGCAAGUCGAACGGCAGCACAGUAAGAUCUUGCUCUUACGGGUGGCGAGUGGCGGACGGGUGAGGAAUACAUCGGAAUCUACUUUUUCGGGGGGGAUAACGUAGGGAAACUUACGCUAAUACCGCAUACGACCUACGGGUGAAAGCAUGGGAUCUUCGGACCUUGCGCGAUUGAAUGAGCCGAUGUCGGAUUAGCUAGUUGGCGGGGUAAAGGCCCACCAAGGCAACGAUCCGUAGCUGGCCUGAGAGGAUGAGCGGCCACACGGGAACUGAGACAGGGUCCAGACUCCUACGGGAGGGAGCAGAGGGGAAUCUUCGGCAAUGGGCGAAAGCCUUACGGAGCCACGCCGCGUGGGGGAAGAAGGCCUUCGGAUCGUAAAGCCCUUUUAUGGGGGAAAAAAAAAUGUGUAAGAAACCAUGCACGUCUUGACGGUACCUAAUCAAAAAGCCACGGCUAACUACGUG
rnacentral:rRNA from 1 species